rnacentral:rRNA from 1 species
GACGAACGCUGGCGGCACGCCUAACACAUGCAAGUCGAACGGACUUAGAAGAGAUUGCUUUUUUAAGUAAGUGGCGGAAGGGUGAGUAACACGUGAGCAACCUGCCUCUGAGAGGGGGAUAGCUUCUGGAAACGGGUGUUAAUACCCCAUAUAAUAUAAAUAUCGCAUGAUAGAUAUAUCAAAUAAAAUCGGUCAGAGAUGGGCUCGCGUCUGAUUAGAUAGUUGGUGAGGUAACGGCUCACCAAGUCGACGAUCAGUAGCCGGACUGAGAGGUUGAACGGACACCUUGGGACUGAGACACGGCCCGGACUCUUACGGGAGGCAGCAAUGGGGAAUAUUGCACGAUGGAGGGAACUCUGAUGCAGCCAGGUCGCGUGGAGGAAGAAGGUUUUAGGAUUGUUAAUUCCUGUUAUAAGGGACGAUAAUGACGGUACCUGAAGAAAAAGCUCCGGCUAACUACGUG